AACAGGAUUAGAUACCCUGGUAGUCCACGCCGUAAACGAUGAGUACUAGGUGUAGGAGGUAUCGACUCCUUCUGUGCCGUCGUUAACACAAUAAGUACUCCGCCUGGGAAGUACGGUCGCAAGAUUAAAACUCAAAGGAAUUGACGGGGGCCCGCACAAGCAGCGGAGCAUGUGGUUUAAUUCGAAGCAACGCGAAGAACCUUACCUAGACUUGACAUCUCCUGAAUUACCUGUAAUAAGGGAAGCCCUUCGGGGCAGGAAGACAGGUGGUGCAUGGUUGUCGUCAGCUCGUGUCGUGAGAUGUUGGGUUAAGUCCCGCAACGAGCGCAACCCUUAUUAUUAGUUGCUACCAUUAAGUUGAGCACUCUAGUGAGACUGCCCGGGUUAACCGGGAGGAAGGCGGGGAUGACGUCAAAUCAUCAUGCCCCUUAUGUCUAGGGCUACACACGUGCUACAAUGGUGAGAACAACGAGAUGCAAUACCGCGAGGUGGAGCCAAACUUCAAAUCUCAUCUCAGUUCGGAUUGUAGGCUGAAACUCGCCUACAUGAAGUUGGAGUUGCUAGUAAUCGCGAAUCAGAAUGUCGCGGUGAAUACGUUCCCGGGCCUUGUACACACCGCCCGUCACACCAUGAGAGCUGGUAAUACCCGAAGUCCGUGAGGUAACCUUUAUUGGAGCCAGCGGCCGAAGGUAGGAUCGGUGAUUAGGGUGAAGUCGUAACAAGGUAACC
rnacentral:rRNA from 1 species